UUAAUAGAAACAAAAUUUGUAAUUAGUUUCGACCUAAUCUUUGGCAUCACUUGCCCUAUUUUA
rnacentral:tRNA from 1 species